rnacentral:rRNA from 1 species
AGCCCUGUGAAGGUGAGCAAAUCCCAAAAAUAAACGUCCCAGUUCGGAUUGUAGUCUGCAACCCGACUACAUGAAGCUGGAAUCGCUAGUAAUCGCGGAUCAGAAUGCCGCGGUGAAUACGUUCCCGGGUCUUGUACACACCGCCCGUCACACCAUGGGAGUCGGAAAUGCCCGAAGCCGGUGACUCAACCUUUAAGGAGAGAGCCGUCGAAGGCAGGUCUGAUAACUGGGGCGAAGUCGUAACAAGGUACC